AUAAUUAAAGAUAAGCAAUGUGAAUUAAAAUGGGAACAUUUGUAAAAAAGAAUAAAUUGAAUAAUAGUUCCAAGUACUUUACAUUUGGACAAAAAAUUAGACCGUAGCUUCAAGCUG
rnacentral:sRNA from 1 species